rnacentral:rRNA from 1 species
CCUACGGGUGGCAGCAGUGAGGAAUAUUGGUCAAUGGGCGCGAGCCUGAACCAGCCAAGUCGCGUGAGGGAGGACGGCCCUCCGGGUUGUAAACCUCUUUUGCCGGGGAGCAACUGACGUCACGUGUGUCGCCACUCAGAGUACCCUGAGAACAAGCAUCGGCAAACUCCGUUCCAGCAGCCGCGGUAAUACGGAGGAGGCUAGCGUUAGCCGGCUUUAUUGGGUGUAAAGGUUGCGUAGGCGGAGCGUUAAGUCAGUGGUAAAAUUGGGGGGCUAAACCCCUUCCCGCCAUUGAAACUGGCGAUCUUGAGUGGAAGAGAGGUAUGCGGAAUGCGUGGUGUAGCGGUGAAAUGCAUAGAUAUCACGCAGAACACCGAUUGCGAAGGCAGCAUGCCGGCUUCCGACUGACGCUGAAGCACGAAAGCGUGGGGAUCGAACAGGAUUAGAUACCCCAGUAGUC